rnacentral:rRNA from 1 species
UUUGACCUCGGAUCAGGUAGGAAUACCCGCUGAACUUAAGCAUAUCAAUAAGCGGAGGAAAAGAAACCAACAGGGAUUGCCCUAGUAACGGCGAGUGAAGCGGCAACAGCUCAAAUUUGAAAUCUGGCUUCGGCCCGAGUUGUAAUUUGCAGAGGAUGUUUCUGGCGCGGUGCCUUCCGAGUUCCCUGGAACGGGACGCCAAAGAGGGUGAGAGCCCCGUAUGGUUGGACACCAAGCCUGUGUGAAACUCCUUCGACGAGUCGAGUAGUUUGGGAAUGCUGCUCUAAAUGGGAGGUAAAUCUCUUCUAAAGCUAAAUACCGGCCAGAGACCGAUAGCGCACAAGUAGAGUGAUCGAAAGAUGAAAAGCACCUUGAAAAGGGGGUUAAAUAGUACGUGAAAUUGUUGAAAGGGAAGCACUUAUGACCAGACUUGGGCCGGGCAGCUCAUCAGGGGUUCUCCCCUGUGCACUCUGCCCGGCACAGGCCAGCAUCGGUUUUCGCGGGGGGAUAAGACCGUCAGGAACGUAGCACCCUCCGGGGUGUGUUAUAGCCUGGCGGACGAUACCCUCGCGGGGACCGAGGUUCGCGCUCCGCAAGGAUGCUGGCGUAAUGGUCAUCAGUGACCCGUCUUGAAACACGGACCAAGGAGUCGUCCAUUAGAGCGAGCGUUUGGGUGUAAAACCCGCACGCGUAAUGAAAGUGAACGCAGGUGAGAGCUUCGGCGCAUCAUCGACCGAUCCUGAUGUUCUCGGAAGGAUUUGAGUAAGAGUUUUAACGGACGGACCCGAAAGACAGUGAACUAUGCUUGAAUAGGGUGAAGCCAGAGGAAACUCUGGUGGAGGCUCGCAGCGGUUCUGACGUGCAAAUCGAUCGUCAAAUUUGAGCAUGGGGGCGAAAGACUAAUCGAACUGUCUAGUAGCUGGUUACCGCC